rnacentral:rRNA from 1 species
CGCCAGUGUUGGUGGAGCCAUCCUUGAAAUACCACCCUUGUAUGUUUGAUGUUCUAACACUGACCCGUUAUCCGGGUUGUGGACAGUGUCUGGUGGGUAGUUUGACUGGGGCGGUCUCCUCCCAAAGAGUAACGGAGGAGUGCGAAGGUGACCUCAGCGCGGUCGGAAAUCGCGCAAUGAGUGCAAAGGCAUAAGGUCGCUUAACUGCGAGACAGACACGUCGAGCAGGUGCGAAAGCAGGUCUUAGUGAUCCGGUGGUUCUGUAUGGAAGGGCCAUCGCUCAACGAAUAAAAGGUACUCCGGGGAUAACAGGCUGAUUCCUCCCAAGAGUCCACAUCGACGGAGGAGUUUGGCACCUCGAUGUCGGCUCAUCACAUCCUGGGGCUGUAGCAGGUCCCAAGGGUAUGGCUGUUCGCCAUUUAAAGUGG